rnacentral:tRNA from 6 species
GGGGCUAUAGCUCAGCUGGGAGAGCACCUGCCUUGCAAGCAGGGGGUCAGCGGUUCGAAUCCGCUUAGCUCCACCA